rnacentral:tRNA from 1 species
GCCAACAUCGCAUAAUCUGGUUAUUGCACUGGACUGGAAAUCCAGGAUGUUUUUCAUCGUAGGGGUUCAAAUCCCCUUGUUGGCU